rnacentral:rRNA from 1 species
GAUUAACGCUGGCGGCGUGCAUAACACAUGCAAGUCGAACGAUGAAACUUAAAUGAUUUCUUCGGAAUGAACUUAAGUGGAUUAGUGGCGGACGGGUGAGUAACGCGUGUGUAACCUGCCUUACACAAGGGGAUAGCCGUUGGAAACGACGAAUAAUACCCUAUGAAACUAUCACUUCGCAUGAAGCGAUAGUCAAAGUGUUGGCGGUGUAAGAUGGACUUGCGUCUGAUUAGCUAGUUGGUGAGAAAAAAGCCCACCAAGGCAACGAUCAGUAGCCGGCUUGAGAGAGUGUACGGCCACAUUGGGACUGAGGCACGGCCCAGACUCCUACGGGAGGCAGCAGUGGGGAAUUUUGCACAAUGGGGGAAACCCUGAUGCAGCGACGCCGCGUGAUUUAGAAGGCCUUCGGGUUGUAAAAAUCUUUUGUAUAGGAAGAAAAUGACAGUACUAUACGAAUAAGGUCCGGCUAAUUACGUG